ensembl:lincRNA
UGCAUACUCUUGGUUUUCAUGUUUUUUGCAAUUAGAAUGAUUACUUUUAUAAUUGGAAAAAAUCCCAGUAAGUGUUAAUAAAGCUGCAAAUAUCCUGCAGGUAGUCUGCACUACCCUGCUACUCCUUCGGUGCAGAUGGUGGCUUCUAGAGCUACAAGGAAAUUUAAAUAUCAUAUACUCUCUGCUUCUGCAUUUUAGAAAAGAGAAAACUGCAACCCAGAGAAGUUAAAUGACCUGGCCAAGGUCUGCCAGCCAGUGGAGGCAGGGGAGGAGGAAAGUAACAUAUGAAAUGCUAACAGAGAAGCAGAGACGAACACAACGGUGUAGAGCAAUUACACUCCAGAAGGAAAAGAACCAGGAGACCUAGUGUCUGUCGGGGCGAGGAGUGGAUCCUGCCUGAGAAGCCUGUCUGGGAUUCUGCUCCACACUGAGGUUGGAAAGAGCAGCGCGGCUCCUCUGGAAAUCUUGUUUCCCCUGCCACAUGACAUCAGUGGGUUAUAUUGCAACUUUCCACAUGGCUGCCCAGACACAGACAGUUGUGUUUAUGAAAAUCCUCCUGAUACAGACUUGGAGCCUCCCUGGCACAAGAGGCUCCUUCUUGGGCUGCGGAGUGUUCUGCUUAGAGGAGCAGCUGACAGAGGGUGGUGUGGAAGGCCAGCUCCUCUGCCUGGUGCAUGGUGGAGGCGGGGAGGGAGGCCCAUCCCAGGAGUGUGGAGCAUCUUGGGCUGCACCAUCCCCGGCUCCACUCCGGGAAGUCAUAGCUGCACGCAGUCAGAGAUGCUGGUGAGCCAUCCCCCUGCCCCUGCCCCCCAGGAUCCAGUCUUUCAAUUUCUGCGGCUUGACUUGAACGUUCUCCCUGUGAAGACUGUCCUGGCUGCCCAGCCAGAAUGGAAGCGCCGUGCAGCAAGCUGCCUUGGGGUCUUUGUGUCUCUCAUAAUCCCAUCCUCAAUGACCUUCCCAUCCUCCUUCCCUCCCCACUUCUCUUUCCCUCGUAGUCCUUGAACAGCACAUGGAAAGACACAGUCUCGAGGAAAUUGAACAUGCAACAUACUUCCUAGGCCCAUGAACUCUCACCCCGCUACCCACCCCAGGAAAUAUUAAUAAAUGACAAGAGCAGCAGCUAACAUUUAUUAAGCUCCUACUAUGUACCAGGCUGUGCUCUGAGAGCUAUAUGUGGUUAAUUCUCACAAUGAUCCUAGGAGACAUGCAGUCUCAUUAUCUCGCAACUUAAGAGUGAAGGACACAGAGGCACAGGGAGGCGAGGUCACCGUCCAGGGUCACUCAUGGUAGAAUCUUGAUUCAAAUCUAGGCAGGCUGGUUUCAGACUCCAGGCCCUCGGCCAACUGCACCAAGCUUUCUUUUGGCCUAAAUGCUAAGAGAAAAGAGAGGGGGACGGAAGGAUCACUUUUCCCCAGGAGGACAGGGAAGGGUCCGCUAGAGGAGGGGCUGCUAUAGGAGAGGAGAGAGGAUGAAUAAGAGCUCCCAGAGCAGGGAGUGACCAGGCCCUCCGCACUAGCCAACAGUUGAGAAGAAGAGCCGGCAAGCGUUUCCACAUACCAUCUUUCUUCAGCAGCUAUUUCAUGGAAGGAAAGGUGGUGAGGUUGCAGAGGGGCAGCCGGUGACUUAGCUUCUCACAGGGACUAGAGUCUGUGUCCUUGCCACACUCAUCCCCUGUAGCUCUCGGCCUUUUGCUACCAACUCCUUGGAAGUCCAGCCUCCCAGUGGCUCAGCAGUGAAGAAUCUGCCUGCAAUGCAGGAGAUAGGGGUUCCAUCACUGGGUGGGGAAGCUCCCCUGGAAGAGGGCAUGGCAACCCUCUCCAGUAUUCUUGCCUGGAGAAUCCCCUGGGCAGAGGAGCCUGGGGCCUGCAGUCCAUAGGGUCACAAAGAGUCAGACAUGACUGAGCACACACACACACACACACACACACACACGUCUUGAAAUUUCACAAGGGAGGAAAAAUUGGUAGAUAAGGCUAAGAAAGAGUGUCUAGGACACAGAAGUCACUGGAAGGCCAAAGAAGAAUGUGGGAACCCCUAAGGAUGGAGGGGAGCCAGGCCAGGCUGAGCCAGUCCCCAGCCUUGCCACCUCCCGGCCACUUUCCCUGCCUGCCAACUGCAGGCCUCCUCUGGAUUCUGUGACAGUCUCCUCAGGCGUGAUUUAGAAGAGGCUGUGCUGAGCGGUCAUCCCUUCCUAAUGGGCUUGAGUCAUAAUUCUCAGCAACCAUCUUCCUCUCCCCCACACCCACCCCCCUCCCUGUGGCUACUGCUCUGAGGCAGUUAGAACAGAUUUAAGAUCAAAAUCAAAUCAGAUUCACCAAACAAGGUGUCAGGCCAGGCAGGAGGGGCCGGG